AUGAUGGGAAUUUAAACCUCUUCCAGAGUAUCAAUUGGAGGGCAAGUCUGGUGCCAGCAGCCGCGGUAAUUCCAGCUCCAAUAGCGUAUAUUAAAAUUGUUGCAGUUAAAAAGCUCGUAGUUGAAUUUCUGCUGCAUUGCUUUUGCUCCUUUACGAGUCUUUGCAUUGUGGCUUAUUUCGGACUUUGUUUUACAAUGUCCGGAUGUUUACUUUGAGAAAAUUAGAGUGCUCAAAGCAGGCUUUCGCCUUGAAUAGUUUAGCAUGGAAUAAUAAAGUAGGACUUUGGUUCUAUUUUGUUGGUUUUAGGUACCAAAGUAAUGGUUAAUAGGAACAGUUGGGGGCAUUCGUAUUUAACUGUCAGAGGUGAAA
rnacentral:rRNA from 1 species